rnacentral:rRNA from 1 species
GACGAACGCGGGCGGCGCGCCUAACACAUGCAAGUCGAGCGAUGAACAUUGAAUGAUCCCUUCGGGGUGAUUUCGAUCGGAUUAGCGGCGAACGGGUGAGUAACGCGUGAGGAACCUGCCUCUUACAACGGGAUAGCCUCGGGAAACCGGGAUUAAUACCGUAUAAGACUCCGACAUCUCCUGAUGAUGAAGUCAAAGCGUUAGCGGUAAGAGAUGGCCUCGCGUCUGAUUAGCUUGUUGGCGGGGUAACGGCCCACCAAGGCGACGAUCAGUAACCGGCCUGAGAGGGUGAACGGUCACAUUGGAACUGAGACACGGUCCAAACUCCUACGGGAGGCAGCAGUGGGGAAUCUUGCACAAUGGGGGCAACCCUGAUGCAGCGACGCCGCGUGAGCGAUGAAGGUUUUCGAAUCGUAAAGCUCUGUCCUAUGGGAAGAUAAUGACGGUACCAUGGGAGGAAGCCCCGGCUAACUACGUGCCAGCAGCCGCGGUAAUACGUAGGGGGCGAGCGUUGUCCGGAAUUACUGGGCGUAAAGGGUUCGCAGGCGGCAUGGCAAGUCCGAUGUAAAAGGCGAAGGCUCAACCUUCGUAAGCAUCGGAAACUGUCGAGCUUGAGUGAAGGAGAGGCAAGUGGAAUUCCUAGUGUAGCGGUGGAAUGCGUAGAUAUUAGGAGGAAUACCGGUGGCGAAGGCGACUUGCUGGACUUCAACUGACGCUGAGGAACGAAAGCGUGGGUAGCAAACAGG